CAAGGAGGAGGAAGGUGAGGACGACGUCAAGUCAGUCAUGGCCCUUACGGCCAGGGCUACACACGUGCUACAAUGGGGCGUACAGAGAGCUGCGAUACCGCGAGGUGGAGCCAAUCUCUUAAAGCGUCUCUCAGUUCGGAUUGUUCUCUGCAACUCGAGAACAUGAAGCUGGAAUCACUAGUAAUCGCAGAUCAGCUAUGCUGCGGUGAAUACGUUCCCGGGCCUU
rnacentral:rRNA from 1 species